AUGCUUUCACAACUUGACUUCAAAAUAUUUGGUUUGGAGACCAUCAAAGAUCAAUAUGUGCAUGAUGCUGAUUUUAAAGAUGUAAUGCAGAAUUGUAAGGAAGGAAGAAUGUGGAACAAGUUUGUCGUUAACGAUGGAUUUGUGUUUCGUGCUAACAAGCUAUGCAUUCCAGCUAGCUCCGUUCGUCUUUUGUUGUUGCAGGAGGCGCAUGGAGGAGGAUUAAUGGGACACUUUGGCGUGAAGAAGACGGAGGACGUACUUGCUACACAUUUCUUUUGGCCAAAGAUGAGACGGGAUGUUGAGCGUUUUAUUGCUCGAUGCACUACAUGUCAAAAAGCUAAGUCACGACUCAAUCCUCAUGGUUUAUAUAUGCCUUUGCCUGUACCUAGUGUUCCUUGGGAGGAUAUAUCUAUGGACUUUGUUUUAGGUUUACCUCGAACAAAGAAGGGGCGGGAUAGCAUAUUUGUUGUCGUGGAUAGAUUCUCGAAAAUGGCACACUUUAUACCAUGUCAUAAAAGCGAUGAUGCUGUUAAUGUUGCUGAUUUGUUCUUUCGUGAAAUUAUUCGCUUGCAUGGUGUGCCAAAUACUAUUAUUUCAGAUCGUGAUACUAAAUUUCUUAGCCACUUUUGGAGAUGUUUAUGGGCUAAGUUGGGGACUAAACUGCUUUUUAGUACUACUUGUCACCCCCAAACUGAUGGACAAACUGAAGUAGUCAAUAGAACGUUGUCUACUAUGCUUAGGGCUGUUUUGAAGAAUAAUAAGAAAAUGUGGGAGGAAUGCUUGCCUCAUAUUGAAUUUGCUUAUAAUCGUUCAUUGCAUUCUACUACUAAGAUGUGCCCUUUUGAAGUUGUGUAUGGUUUCCUACCUCGUGCACCUAUUGAUUUGUUGCCUCUUCCAUCUUCGGAGAAGGUUAAUUUUGAUGCUAAACAACGUGCUGAAUUUUUAAAAAAUGCAUGA
rnacentral:rRNA from 1 species